GUUUCCAGGUCGUCCGAAUCCAGGGGCUCCAGGCAGGCCUGGAGAACCAACUGGACCUGGCGGACCAACAAUGGACUCACCUUUUGGACCCUACAGCUCAUCUGACUCUCUGGCUGCUAAAAUCUGUGUUGACAAGCCUGUUGCUGACGUUGCCUGCUGUUCGGUGCUGAGCAGGUGGCAUACAGUGGGUUUAAUGAGGCGUUUCAGACGAAAACAGCUGAACUGAAGUUGAUCACAGCACUGAGAGUGGACCAAAAGAUUAAAGAUUAAUAACAGGUCCAGGAGGUCCAACAGGCCCAGGCGGUCCUGGGAUACUGCGUCCAUCAGCGCCGCGAUCUCCCUUCAGGACAGAAAACAGAGAGUGAAAGUGAAAAGGAAAAUACAACCAAGAAGCCAUAAAUUAAACAUCCGGGUUCAAGCAGUGUAUAGAGGGUGGAACAAAGUGUGCAGACUACAUUAGACCCUGUCUGAUAUUACUUAAUACCCACACAUCAUGUUUUGUUCCUCAAACCUACCUUAGGUCCUGGGCUGCCUUUUUCUCCUUUGGCCCCCUGUUUGUGGAGUAAAGAGAAAUGAAGAGUAAUUAAUAUGUUGGGAACCGUAUUAUGCUUAAGGGUGAUCUGCUUAGAGAGUUUAUUUCAAUUAUGUUUUUCUGACAUGUUAUCACACUCAGUUUGGAACAGAGAUAGUUUCUGUGAACACUUCAAUGCAGCUAGUUCAGUGCUGUGUAUGGAUGCACUAUACAAACAUCAACAUGUUCAAACAUGGCUUAUUAAAACAUUCAAAAACAAAUGGAGUUCAACAAUUCGACAAGGUGCCUGAGGUACCUGCUACCAAACCAGCUAGCUAGUUACCGACUAAUACUCUAGCUAACUCCCUUGCUAAAUUCAAGCCAUUUUGACCAUUCUCACAGGUCGUUCCUGGUUCUGAUGACAAUUGUGGCUACUCUGCAGCUGCUAUAUUGUGUUGUGAUCAGCAAGUUGUUUAUAAAGAAUUAAAUUAACAUUACUUUACUAAUUGUUUAGCAGGGGCAGUAAUUAGUUAAAUAACUCUUUUCUUUAAGUCCUUACCAUCCAUUGUGGUUUAACAGUUACACAAUGGGGCAACGUACUGACCAUGACAUCAAUAGCUAACGCUAACUUUAGACCAUGUGUCUGCAGCACCCCAGUAGUCCCGUCCAGUUACAUGUUUCACACUUUCCCUGAAGCAUAAAAUUAGCAAGCUAGUUAAAAAGGUAU